CCAGGGAUCAUCCCUAUUUACUAAGUUCUGGCCAGGGAGAAAAGCUCAUGAAGCACAAACAAUUCUCCCCCUUUGGAGGGCAAGGAACACAGUUGUAUUAGAGGCUGUGAAUUGAACAGAUGCCCAGAAAGGUUCUACUGUUCACAUAGUAUCUCUACUGAACAUAUAGUCUCUCUAGUUUGCUGAAGAGGAAAUUGAAACCCAGAAAAUCAAAGCCCAUCAAGUUAUCAAACCGUUUGGGAUUGUGAGCUCAGCUUCUGAGAUCCUUUGUCACCAAGAAUCCUCAGUGGUCUGGACUGCAAACACGGACCUCCACAGGGGUUGACAUUUGUCUCUGCCAGGAACCCAAAGGUAUUAUCAGCCCCAGAUGACUUUAC
rnacentral:lncRNA from 10 species